rnacentral:rRNA from 1 species
AGAGUUUGAUCAUGGCUCAGGACGAACGCUGGCGGCGUGCCUAACACAUGCAAGUCGAACGGAGAUAAAGAUUUCGGUUUUUAUCCUAGUGGCGCACGGGUGAGUAACACGUGAAUAACCUGACCCAAAGAGGGGGAUAACACCUGGAAACAGGUGCUAAUACCGCAUAAGACCACAAUGUCGCAUGACGAAGGGGUCAAAGAAAAUCGCUUUGGGAGGGGUUCGCGUCCCAUUAGGUAGUAGGCGGGGUAACGGCCCACCUAGCCGACGAUGGGUAGCCGAGCUGAGAGGCUGAUCGGCCACACUGGAACUGAGACACGGUCCAGACUCCUACGGGAGGCAGCAGUGGGGAAUAUUGGGCAAUGGGCGCAAGCCUGACCCAGCAACGCCGCGUGAGGGAAGAAGGUUUUCGGAUUAUAAACCUCUGUCGCAGAAGACGAAGGAAGUGACGGUAUUCUGUGAGGAAGCCCCGGCUAACUACGUGCCAGCAGCCGCGGUAAUACGUAGGGGGCGAGCGUUGUCCGGAAUUACUGGGCGUAAAGGGAGCGCAGGCGGUCUGAUAAGUUGGAUGUGAAAUACCCGGGCUUAACUUGGGGGGUGCAUCCAAUACUGUUGGACUAGAGUACAGGAGAGGCAAUCGGAAUUCCUUGUGUAGCGGUGAAAUGCGUAGAUAUAAGGAAGAACACCAGUGGCGAAGGCGGAUUACUGGACGGUAACUGACGGUGAGGCGCGAAAGCGUGGGGAGCAAACAGGAUUAGAUACCCUGGUAGUCCACGCUGUAAACGAUGGAUACUAGGUGUGCGGGGACUGACCCCCUGCGUGCCGCAGUUAACACAAUAAGUAUCCCACCUGGGGAGUACGAUCGCAAGGUUGAAACUCAAAGGAAUUGACGGGGGCCCGCACAAGCGGUGGAUUAUGUGGUUUAAUUCGAAGCAACGCGAAGAACCUUACCAGGUCUUGACAUCCUGCUAACGAAGUAGAGAUACAUUAGGUGCCCUUCGGGGAAAGCAGAGACAGGUGGUGCAUGGUUGUCGUCAGCUCGUGUCGUGAGAUGUUGGGUUAAGUCCCGCAACGAGCGCAACCCCUAUUGUUAGUUGCUACGCAAGAGCACUCUAGCGAGACUGCCGUUGACAAAACGGAGGAAGGUGGGGACGACGUCAAAUCAUCAUGCCCCUUAUGACCUGGGCUACACACGUAAUACAAUGGCGGUCAACAAAGGGAUGCAAAGCCGCGAGGCAGAGCGAACCCCAAAAAGCCGUCCCAGUUCGGAUCGCAGGCUGCAACCCGCCUGCGUGAAGUCGGAAUCGCUAGUAAUUGUGGGUCAGCAUACCACGGUGAAUACGUUCCCGGGCCUUGUACACACCGCCCGUCACACCAUGAGAGUCGGGAACACCCGAAGUCCGUAGCCUAACCGCAAGGAGGGCGCGGCCGAAGGUGGGUUCGAUAAUUGGGGUGAAGUCGUAACAAGGUA